UUUCAUCUCCGUAUGUGCUCGAUUCAAUUACCUUAACUUGUUGCUGUUGGUCAGGUUGUGAAUCAUUACACAUUGGAGAUAACAACACGCUAGAGUCGAAAUGUCAUAUUGGUGUGAAGUCAGCCAUGACCAGUGGUUGUGUUCUGGGAGCAUGCUGUCAUCUGACCAGUCAAGAGACACUGCCUGAGAAUACGGUAGUGUUUGGCGAGGGCAAUCUGCGUCGAGUGCAAGGUGAUAAGCCCACGGCACCCACAUUACAGCUGGACUUCCUAACUAAGAUAUUGCCAAACUACCAUCACCUGCAGACGUCGCAGUCGGCAGCCCAGCAGCAGCACCAGCAACAUCUUGACCAAAGUUAUCCUUGUCGUAUCCACCCUAUGUAGUCGUCUGAUUUUGCUGCAAACCGGCAUUUGUUGAUUGCGAUUCCCCCGAUACCAAUGACUAGAUCAGCGUACUGGUUGCCUUAUCAAACCUAUCAAUUUCCUCUGCAUGUUCUGCUGCGGGACAUGUUAUCGUGUCGCAUUCUUUCACCUGCUGAUCAUAUAGCACAGGUAUUAUUUUAAUAUUGUACACAGCAGAGUGAUGCUGCUGUGCGUGUUCACGCCAGGUCGGUACAUUGUGGAUAUAUGCAUCAGAGACUGCUAUAGGUACCGGUAGCCGUCCACGAUAUCUCUUCUGAGGCACUUCGCGCCAGUUUUCUGCUUACCCCGGACGCCAGACCUUUCUCACCUAUUGCUCGGAAGUGCCCGUUCAAGGCUAUAAAGCCUAUAAUCUCUGUUGCUAGCAAAUGCCUGUUCAAGGCUAUAAUCUCUGUUGCCAGCAAAUGCCUGUACAAGGCUAUAAUCUCUGUUACUAGCAAAUGCCUGUACAAGGCUAUAAUGCCGUCGGCAUACCUCAGUCUGACAUGCUGAACUGUUCACCUCAACGCUCCACGAGCGUAUAGCUCAAGUUUUCCUGCUGCUAUGCCAUCACCUCCACGGUAGGUAGGUAUAAUCAGACGUUCACCGGUCAAUCAUGUAUUUGAUUGUAUAAAGUAUUGACUUGUCUUCUUGUUGUGCAUGUCGACCUCUUGUUACUGCGGCCUCAUGAUAUUACACUUUUCAUAUCAUGGAUGAUAAUAAUCAUAAAUAUUAUUGUGUCAUGAUAUCAUGGAUGGUGUCAAUCUGGCAAACAAUUGUCGCUGCUGGUAACACUGUAGUUAGAACACACACACACAUGAUUUGUUUCUUACAUGGCUACAAUCUUAUGUGUUUGUGGCACAUUCUGACAUCGUUCUUGUAUUGUGUGAUCCAGAACUUUGCUUUUCUA